rnacentral:lncRNA from 1 species
GCAUGUGUAGAUUAUAAGUAAUUGGUAAAAAUUCAUAGGAUUGCUAGGUGAUGGUGGAACACUAGUGCUUUCUUAAUUUUAUUCUCUCAAAACUGUUUUCUUUUCUCUCUAGCUCUAAUAUUGCAAAUUGUUUAUUUUAAUUCAUUAAAUUCGUUUUUAUUUUAAUUAGGUUAUAAAAUCAAUCACUCCAAUUUCUACUUUACAGUAAUUAAAUGGAAUCUGAUUAGUUCGAAUUAUUUAAUAAUCCCUGUGGAGACGACCUUGCGAGAUCCGUUUAUAUUAGAAUAAUCUUGUGAUUCUUGCAAGUAAAAUAGGAGAUUUAAGCCCUUUCACAUGAGUAGUAAAAAAUCCCUAUCACUCCCCCAUGACUUUCUAUGAGGUUCAUAGUUGUUUUCAGAUAUUACAAAAUGUUAGGACAAUCCAUUGGUGCACAAUGGCAUGGUUGUCAAAGUUAUAGCUCAUAAGGUAACUCGCAAUUCACAAUUAAACAUCAUGGAUAUUGAACUCAAGUCUCCUAGAGUGUGAAACUAACUGAUGUUAACAGCCAGAUGUAGUGUGUCUAUGAACUGGUGAAUAUUGUCAACACCCUUCUUCUUACUUGUAUGAAUAAACUUCUCCCAAUCUUUCCUCCCAAGUAGUUAGCGGAAAGUGAGGGACCAUUUUCUAUUUUGACAUAUCAGAAAAUGCUGUGCUUAGGUACCAACUUCCUUUGUAGUGUUUAAUCUUCUUCUUCCAUGUCACUAAAUAACCUUCGUUGUUAUUACUUCUUUCUAGAGAUAACCUUCGUCUCCUCGUUUGACUGGUAUAACAGUUAGACUUGGCAUUCGUGUCGUGUUUUCCGUGUUCGUGUCGUUUUCGUGUCAUACCCGAUAUCUUAA